rnacentral:rRNA from 1 species
AGUGCGUAACCAGGUUUCCGUAGGUGAACCUGCGGCAGGAUCAUUA